GAUGAACGCUGGCGGCGUGCCUAAUACAUGCAAGUCGAGCGAACAGACUAGGAGCUUGCUCCUCUGACGUUAGCGGCGGACGGGUGAGUAACACGUGGAUAACCUACCUAUAAGACUGGGAUAACUUCGGGACACCGGAGCUAAUACCGGAUAAUAUAUUGAACCGCAUGGUUCAAUAGUGAAAGACGGUUUUGCUGUCACUUAUAGAUGGUUCCGCGCCGCAUUAUCUAGUUGGUAAGGUAACGGCUUACCAAGGCAACGAUGCGUAGCCGACCUGAGAGGGUGAUCGGCCACACUGGAACUGAGACACGGUCCAGACUCCUACGGGAGGCAGCAGUAGGGAAUCGGCCGCAAUGGGCGAAAGCCUGACGGAGCAACGCCGCGUGAGUGAUGAAGGUCUUCGGAUCGUAAAACUCUGUUAUUAGGGAAGAACAAAUGUGUAAGUAACUAUGCACGUCUUGACGGUACCUAAUCAGAAAGCCACGGCUAACUACGUG
rnacentral:rRNA from 1 species